CAUUAGUACGCAGCUACGCGUGAAGUUGACCGCUGGGAGUACGUCGCAAGAUUAAACUCAAGAAUUGACGGGGCCCGCACAGCGGUGGAUUAUGUGGAUUAAUUCGAUGCAACGCGAAAAACCUUACCUGGCCUGACAUGUACGGAACUUUCCAGAGAUGGAUGGUGCCCGAAAGGGAGCUGUAACACAGGUGCUGCAUGGCUGUCGUCCAGCUCGUGUCGUGAGAUGUUGGGUUAAGUCCCGCAACGAGCGCAACCCUUGCCAUUAAUUGCCAUCAUUUAGUUGGGCACUUUAAUGGGACUGCCGGUGACAAACCGGAGGAAGGUGGGGAUGACGUCAAGUCCUCAUGGCCCUUAUGGCCAGGGCUUCACACGUAAUACAAUGGUCGGUACAGAGGGUAGCCAACCCGCGAGGGGGAGCCAAUCCCAGAAAGCCGAUCGUAGUCCGGAUUGCAGUCUGCAACUCGACUGCAUGAAGUCGGAAUCGCUAGUAAUCGCGGAUCAGCAUGUCGCGGUGAAUACGUUCCCGGGCCUUGUACACACCGCCCGUCACACCAUGGGAGUGGGUUCCACCAGAAGUAGGUAGUCUAACCGCAAGGGGGACGCUUACCACGGUGGGGUUCAUGACUGGGUGAAGUCGUAACAAGGUAACCGUAA
rnacentral:rRNA from 1 species